rnacentral:snRNA from 1 species
AGAAAUGAGGGUAGUCUGGCUGCAACAUCUGUCACCUCAUGGAUAGUCAGGGUUGAAUUGGCUGAUCUGACUGGCUAGCUGUCACCUCCCUUCCUUAUCAUGCCACGUGCAUAUCUUUUGAAGAGGACAACUGCCCCAGAUGGAAUAAGUGUACUGUAUAAU